CUAACAUUCGCAAACCUUGCACUUAUCUCAAUAUCCUUUGCGUGCCACACGCAAAUAUUAAAAUAGCUAUUGUGUUUCAAUUGAACAUCCCACGCCAUGUUAGGCUCGACAUCCUGGUUUGAAUAUGUGAAUGUUUGUAAUGCUAAUAUGUAGCCACCUAGCAUUGGGAUGUAAAUGUGGGAAAUGUAAUGCAAUCAGCAAAUCUGCUGAAAGGGCGCAGCUCCUCAAUUGGAACCUUUUUUCCUGAUCAUCUUCCUCCCCGGCCGAUGUGUCCCCUGCCGCAGACAGCCAGGCAGACCUCUUUCAGGGUGUGAUGGCGAGGAGAUGUGCAGGAUGGAGGAGUGAGCGAGAUGUGCACGAGGAGUUGAAGCACGGUUUCCUGUGUGUACUGCACUUCCUGUGUGUUUCGAGCCAGGGCCUGUUUCCUGUGCGUGAUGGGUGCCAGGCCCCCGCAACCCGACACAUAGACAACACACACCAAUCACUGUCCACCAGAUGGAGAAGAGCUUCCAUUGAAGGAAAUGUCCAUCAUGUUGAGUCCAUGUAUCCAGUUCAUACAGCCCAUUCAACAGACGUGAAAGGCCUGCAUGCAGGGCUUCUUUGAAAUUAUGUACUGAAAAGACCAGGCUGGAGUCCAUUCAGUGCAUCCUCGAAGA